CUACGGAGAAGAGUAAUCACAAUGCUCAUCAAGGAUGCUGGAGCUCCCGUCACAAACUUUUUUCUCAAAGUAUUGGUGAAAGGCAAGAAGCAGACCGAGAAGACUUGUCAGCUGCAAACAAGAAAAGGGAAGAUCACACAGAAGAGGGCACAGGGGCCCGGAGAGCAGAAGGAUUCGUAGCAAAUAAUUUCAAAGGAGAAAUACUGGACCCUAAUCAAGGAAAUGAUGAUAUUUACCUGGUGGAUUUUAUAAUUGCUAUACCAAUUACUGUGUGCCUACCCCUUUCUCUUCACUGAAUGAUAGCGUUUGCUGCCGUUAUGCUAUCCUUGGCUUACCAUUGCACGUGAGGUGUGUGUUGCAAGAAAGGACGUCUCUUUAGCUCAUGGGUCUUUAGAACG
rnacentral:lncRNA from 1 species